rnacentral:rRNA from 1 species
GUGGGGAAUAUUGGACAAUGGGCGCAAGCCUGAUCCAGCCAUGCCGCGUGAGUGAUGAAGGCCUUAGGGUUGUAAAGCUCUUUCAGUGGGGACGAUAAUGACGGUACCCACAGAAGAAGCCCCGGCUAACUUCGUGCCAGCAGCCGCGGUAAUACGAAGGGGGCUAGCGUUGUUCGGAUUUACUGGGCGUAAAGCGCACGUAGGCGGAUCGUUAAGUCGGGGGUGAAAUCCUGGAGCUCAACUCCAGAACUGCCUUCGAUACUGGCGAUCUUGAGUCCGGAAGAGGUGAGUGGAACUCCUAGUGUAGAGGUGGAAUUCGUAGAUAUUAGGAAGAACACCAGUGGCGAAGGCGGCUCACUGGUCCGGUACUGACGCUGAGGUGCGAAAGCGUGGGGAGCAAACAGGAUUAGAUACCCGAGUAGUCC